GGGGUCAAAGGAGCAAUCCGGUAUAAGAGGGGUUCGCGUCCCAUUAGCUAGUUGGUGGAGUAACGGUUCACCAAGGCAACGAUGGGUAUCCGAGCUGAGAGGCUGAACGGACACACUGGGACUGAGAUACGGCCCAGACUCCUACGGGAGGCAGCAGGGAGGAAUAUUGGUCAAUGGGGGAAACCCUGAACCAGCAACGCCGCGUGAAGGAAGAAGGCCCUCGGGUUGUAAACUUCUGUUUUCAGGGACGAAGAAAGUGACGGUACCUGAAGAGAAAGCUCCGGCAAACUACGUGCCAGCAGCCGCGGUAAUACGUAGGGAGCGAGCGUUGUCCGGAAUCACUGGGCGUAAAGGGCGCGUAGGCGGUUUUACAAGUUGCAUGUGAAAGACCAUGGCUUAACCAUGGGGUGUCAUGCAAAACUGUAGGGCUUGAGUGCAGUAGAGGAAAGCGGAAUUCCUGGUGUAGCGGUAAAAUGCGUAGAGAUCAGGAGGAACACCGGUGGCGAAGGCGGCUUUCUGGGCUGUAACUGACGCUGAGGCGCGAAAGCGUGGGGAGCGAACAGGAUUAGAUACCCUGGUAGUCCACGCCGUAAACGAUGAAUAUUAGGUGUAGGCCUUUAAGGUCUGUGCCGGAGCAAACGCAAUAAAUAUUCCGCCUGGGGAGUACGGCCGCAAGGUUGAAACUCAAAAGAAUUGACGG
rnacentral:rRNA from 1 species